GGUGAAGUGACAAAAAAAUACCUAAGUCAUGUAGGUUUGAAGAUGAUGAAUUUAUGAAUGAAACUCUAGAAGAUAUGAUUCGUGAUAUUGGAGUGAUGAUUUUAAGAAAGCUUAUGUGAAAGAUACUUUGCAAAGUGACAUCGAAGACUCGUUAUAUCCGGGAGGAAGGCGUUGAUGAUGAUUUUGGGUCUAAAAGAACCAGAGAAUGAC
rnacentral:lncRNA from 1 species